rnacentral:rRNA from 1 species
GAUGAACGCUGGCGGCGUGCCUAAUACAUGCAAGUCGAGCGAACGGACGAGAAGCUUGCUUUUCUGAUGUUAGCGGCGGACGGGUGAGUAACACGUGGAUAACCUACCUAUAAGACUGGGAUAACGUCGGGAAACCGGAGCUAAUACCGGAUAAUAUUUUGAACCGCAUGGUUCAAAAGUGAAAGACGGUCUUGCUGUCACUUAUAGAUGGAUCCGCGCUGCAUUAGCUAGUUGGUAAGGUAACGGCUUACCAAGGCAACGAUGCAUAGCCGACCUGAGAGGGUGAUCGGCCACACUGGAACUGAGACACGGUCCAGACUCCUACGGGAGGCAGCAGUAGGGAAUCUUCCGCAAUGGGCGAAAGCCUGACGGAGCAACGCCGCGUGAGUGAUGAAGGUCUUCGGAUCGUAAAACUCUGUUAUUAGGGAAGAACAUAUGUGUAAGUAACUGUGCACAUCUUGACGGUACCUAAUCAGAAAGCCACGGCUAACUACGUG